UAAAGCUAAAUAUGGCCAGAGACCGAUAGCGCACAAGUAGAGUGAUCGAAAGAUGAAAAGUACUUUGAAAAGAGGGUUAAAAAGCACGUGAAAUUGUUGAAAGGGAAGCGUUUGUGACCAGACUUUUUCUAGGCGGAUCAUCUGGUGUUCUCACCGGUGCACUUUGCCUAGUCUAGGCCAGCAUCGGUUUCUAUAGGGGGAUAAAAUCAGUGGGAAUGUGGCUCCCUCGGGAGUGUUAUAGCCCGUUGAAUAAUACCCUUACGGGGACCGAGGUUCGCGCUCUGCAAGGAUGCUGGCGUAAUGGUCAUCAACGACCCGUCUUGAAACACGGACCAAGGAGUCGAACAUUUGUGCGAGUGUUUGGGUGUUAAACCCUCACGCGUAAUGAAAGUGAACGGAGGUGAGAGCCCUUACGGGUGCAUCAUCGACCGAUCCUGAAGUUUUCGGAUGGAUUUGAGUAAGAGCAUAACUGUUCGGACCCGAAAGAUGGUGAACUAUGCGUGGAUAGGGNGAAGCCAGAGGAAACUCUGGUGGAGGCUCGCAGCGGUUCUGACGUGCAAAUCGAUCGUCAAAUCUGCGCAUGGGGGCGAAAGACUAAUCGAACCAUCUAGUAGCUGGUUACCGCCGAAGUUUCCCUCAGGAUAGCAGUGUUGUCUUCAGUUUUAUGAGGUAAAGCGAAUGAUUAGGGACUCGGGGGCUAUUUAUUGCCUUCAUCCAUUCUCAAACUUUAAAUAUGUAAGAAGCCCUUGUUACUUAAUUGAACGUGGGCAUUCGAAUGUACCAACACUAGUGGGCCAUUUUUGGUAAGCAGAACUGGCGAUGCGGGAUGAACCGAACGCGAGGUUAAGGUGCCGGAGUGGACGCUCAUCAGACACCACAAAAGGUGUUAGUACAUCUUGACAGCAGGACGGUGGCCAUGGAAGUCGGAAUCCGCUAAGGACUGUGUAACAACUCACCUGCCGAAUGUACUAGCCCUGAAAAUGGAUGGCGCUCAAGCGUCCCACCCAUACCUCGCCUUCAGAGUAGAAACGAUGCCCUGAAGAGUAG
rnacentral:rRNA from 1 species